rnacentral:misc_RNA from 1 species
AACAUCGCGCACCUGCGGGAACCUGCGGAGGGAUCAUUACAGGGUUGCAAAACUCCCUAAACCAUUGUGAACGUUACCUAAACCGUUGCUUCGGCGGGCGGCCCGGGUCCUUCCCGGCGCCCCUCGGCCCUCGCGGGCGCCCGCCGGAGGUAAACCAAACUAUUGCAUUGUAUGGCCUCUCUGAGUCUUCUGUACUGAAUAAGUCAAAACUUUCAGCAACGGAUCUCAGAUCGGAAGAGC